rnacentral:tRNA from 1 species
GGCGGCAUGGCUCAAUGGUAGAGCGUUUGCCUAGUGUGUACAAGGGUCUAGGUUCAAUUCCAAGUACUAUUG